GCCUCUUUAGCUCAGCUGGUAGAGCAGCUCACUCGUAAUGAGCAGGUCGUCGGUUCGAGUCCGAUGAGAGGCU
rnacentral:tRNA from 1 species